rnacentral:rRNA from 1 species
AUGAACGCUGGCGGCGUGCCUAAUACAUGCAGGUCGAGCGAACAGACGAGGAGCUUGCUCCUCUGACGUUAGCGGCGGACGGGUGAGUAACACGUGGAUAACCUACCUAUAAGACUGGGAUAACUUCGGGAAACCGGAGCUAAUACCGGAUAACAUGUUGAACCGCAUGGUUCAACAGUGAAAGACGGUCUUGCUGUCACUUAUAGAUGGAUCCGCGCCGCAUUAGCUAGUUGGUAAGGUAACGGCUUACCAAGGCAACGAUGCGUAGCCGACCUGAGAGGGUGAUCGGCCACACUGGAACUGAGACACGGUCCAGACUCCUACGGGAGGCAGCAGUAGGGAAUCUUCCGCAAUGGGCGAAAGCCUGACGGAGCAACGCCGCGUGAGUGAAGAAGGUCUUCGGAUCGUAAAACUCUGUUAUUAGGGAAGAACAAAUGUGUAAGUAGCUAUGCACGUCUUGACGGUACCUAAUCAGAAAGCCACGGCUAACUACGUG